UCGGGGUCUUUGCCGGCGCAGA
rnacentral:miRNA from 1 species